CAGGUGGAGGAGGGUGGGUGGGGAGGCUGUGCUGCAUCAGAGGGGAAGAAGUAAAUUCUCUCCCUCUCUGUCCUCCCACAGUCAAGGCAGACAUCACUCAAGAGCACCGAGAACAUGGUUCUUCUCAGCAGAGUGCUCUCGACAGCCAGCCAGUACUAAUCUAUCCAGGUUUGCCAUGCUGGCGAAGCUGUUGCGUGGAAAACAAAUCCUCGAGGUGCAUCUGAGAGAAUCAAGGCCCAAGAAGGUGAACUUGCCCAAGACGUGGCAGGAGAGAAGUUGAGCUCCAGUCCUUCUAUUCUGCCGUCUUAAUCCCAUCCCCCAGCCAUUAUUUAUUGAGGGCCAGGUGCUGUGCUGAAAGCUGGGGCAUCAGAUGUGAGUACCUCUGCAACAUUCCAGUAUGCAGUCCAGGAAGACAGCUCUCACCAGGAACUAAAUCUGCCAGAGCUUUAACCUCGGACUUGUCAGCCUCCAGAACAUGAGUUACGUUUCUGUCUCCCCUAGCUCACUGUCCCAGAUAAAAUCUUAGAUUAUUUGUUCUAGUUCUGUGAAAAUGUUAUGGGUAAUUUGAUAGGGAUUGCACUAAAUCUGUAGAUUGCUUUAGGUAGUAUGCCAUUUUAACAAUAUUAAUUCUUUUAAUCCAUGAACAUGGGCUAUCUUUCCAUUUCUUUGAAUCAUCUUCAAUUUUCUUUAUUAAUAUUUUGUAGUUCUUAGCAUACAAAUCUUUGACCUCAUUGGUGAAGUUUAUUCCUAAGGUUUUGUUUGUUUGUUUGUUGUCUUUUUAGGGCCACUACCACAGCAUAUGGAAGUUCCCAGGCUAGGGGUCAAAUCAGAGCUGUAGCUGUUGGCCUACACCACAGCUGCAGCAAUGUGGGAUCUGAGCCGUGUCUGUGGGAUCUGACGUACAACACAGCCCACAGCAAUGCCAGAUUCUUAACUUACUGAGCAAGGCCAGGGAUGGAACCCCCAUCCUUGUGGAUACUGUUGAGUUCUUCAGCCACUGAGCCAUGACAGAAACUCCUAUACUGAAGUAUUUUUUUAUGUGAUUUUAUUAUUUUUUAUUAAUGAUUUUUAUUUUUUUCCAUUAUGGUUGGUUUACAGUGUUGUCAAUUUCUACUUUACAGCAAAGUGAUGCAUGUGCACACACACACACACACACACAUUCUUUUCCUCACUUUAUCCUCCAUCAUAAGUGACUAGAUAUAGUUCCCUGUGCUGUGCAGCAGGAUCUCAUUCCUUAUCCACUCCAAAUGCAAUAGUUUGUUUGCAUCUAUUAAUCCCAG
rnacentral:lncRNA from 1 species